rnacentral:piRNA from 1 species
UAGCUAACGCUACUCUGAAACCAC